AGAUCGUGAUUUGUACACUUCUGCAAUAAAUCAUUGUAUCUCUCUCAUGCUUCAAAUAAUGAUUCAUCCUCAAAUUGAGUGAAGGUAGUGAUAUCAUUCCUUAACUU